rnacentral:piRNA from 1 species
CGGUCACCCUAGGCAACCCUGUUAUCUGCUGUGUGAUACAUCCACCUGUCUAUACAGACCACCCUGUCAUAGCGGUCACCCUAGGCAACCCUGUUAUCAGCUGAGUGAUACAUCCACUUGUCUAUACAGACCACCUUGUCAUAGCGGUCACCCUAGGCAACCCUGUUAUCAGCUGAGUGAUACAUCCACCUGUCUAUACAGACCACCCUGUCAUAGCGGUCACCCUAGGCAACCCUGUUAUCUGCUGUGUGAUACAUCCACCUGUCUAUACAGACCACCCUGUCAUAGCGGUCACCCUAGGCAACCCUGUUAUCAGCUGUGUGAUACAUCCACCUGUCUAUACAGACCACCCUGUCAUAGCGGUCACCCUAGGCAACCCUGUUAUCAUCUGAGUGAUACAUCCACCUGUCUAUACAGACCACCCUGUCAUAGCGGUCACCCUAGGCAACCCUGUUAUCUGCUGUGUGAUACAUCCACCUGUCUAUACAGACCACCCUGUCAUAGCGGUCACCCUAGGCAACCCUGUUAUCAGCUGUGUGAUACAUCCACCUGUCUAUACAGACCACCCUGUCAUAGCGGUCACCCUAGGCAACCCUGUUAUCAGCUGAGUGAUACAUCCACCUGUCUAUACAGACCACCCUGUCAUAGCGGUCACCCUAGGCAACCCUGUUAUCAGCUGAGUGAUACAUCCACCUGUCUAUAGCGGCCACUCUAGACAACCCUGUUAUCAUCAGUGUGAUAAAUUCACCUGUCUAUACAGACCACCCUGACUAUAGCGACCACUCUUUAUGAAAAUCCACAAUUCUAAUUUUAUAUUUUCAAGACACACACAGUUUGGGGCGGGAAGUUUCACAAGAGAGACAUCCACGGCGCCAAUUUAUAAUUGUAACGAAUAGUAUUUUAAUUAAAACAUUUCUAAAAUAUAUACGCACUCGGGUAAACCCCGGGCGUUGCCCAGGCCUUACGUCUAGUAGACUAUAAAAUCAAAUAUGCACAGAUGUGUAAUAGCGGCCAUUUAAUAUCAAAACAUUUAAUAGCUAUUUAAAAUACUAUCUUAUAAAUUUACAAACGAAUAAUAUUUCCAAAUUUGUGUGUAAAUCCAUAAGACAAAUAGCUUUUAAUGUUUUGUUUUCAAAUGGUCACUAUUACACACCUGCGCAUGUGCAGGUGAACAUUUUAUUUUAUAAAUGGUCUGUAUUUCCUCGCAUAUCCUAUUAGAAGAGCAUUUUUGCUCCAGAGCUCGCUUUUUGCACUUUGAAAUAGAUACUUAUUAUUAAAUUUUUAUUAAUUUCACAAUACAAAUUUAUUCUUAAUAAAAAUAAAGGAAUUAUGGUGAUAAUACAUUUGUUUUUGUAAAUAGUCUGUAUUUAUCCUCAUAUCUCUGAUAAGCCAGUAGAGAAGAGCAUCUUUACCCAAAUUUUCCCAAUAAAAAAAUACUUAUUAUUAUAUUUUUUUAUAUUAAUUUCUAUAUAAAACUAUUGGCAAUUUUACUUAACAUAUAGUGAAUGACUUUUUGGUAACAGCGUUGUUACCAUCUUCGGACAAAACUAGUGAAUAUUAUUUGUUUUUUAUUAGUUGUGUAUUUGUUUGUAUUGUUACUACUACUAUUACAACUAAUAAUUAUUAUAUACAGCAGAAUCUCCCUUUAGCAGACACCUCUCUACAAAGGACAGUUUUCAUUUGCAAAAUUACCAUUUUUACAAUUUAGCAACUCUCCGGUAAGAGAACACCUCUUCCUAAAGGUCACUUUGGCUCUGCAAUUAGGUGUCCUUUACAGGGAGGUUCUACUGAAUAUGUAUAUAUACAUGAUAAGCUAUAUUUUAGCUAAUUCAAUAUUGAGUAAACACUCACUUGGCAUGAUCGUAGAUAAGGCUGCCUCAUUAGUCUAGUAAAUAAUAAAAUACGGCCUCAAUGAAAUUUUUGGUUAUAGAAAAUAAAUAGCACCUGCCUCAGAUUGUAGUGGUCCCUCGCUAGCAUGCUGGUUGAGACUGAGUUGCCAACCGAAGGUGUGUGCCACAGAGCUGAGUCUGACCAUCUACGAAGGCCAGAUCACGGCCCUGUUGGGCCACAAUGGGGCCGGCAAAUCCACCCUCAUCCACAUGCUGACUGGAGUCAUGCCACUAACUGAAGGCAAGGCCUGGCUCUAUGGCCACAGCCCAACUUCCAACCUGUCAGCCCUCCGCAACCUGAUGGGUGUCUGUCUCCAAGACGAUGUCUUUCACCCCAACCUCAAUUCUGUCCAGCACCUUCAAAUCUUUGCUGGCAUCAAGAACAUCACUCUGUCUCCUAAACAGGUUGGUUUGUGCCCUUUCUCCACACCUCUCUCGCCUCCCAUUCAAUAAAAAAACUUGUAUGUAAUAUGUACCAUAUAAAAAAGCCGUUUAAAAUUAUCUGUGAAAAGUAUAAAGAGAAUAAAGCCUUAUUAUAUAAUGAUUGUUAAAUUCUGAAAACUCAGGGGUCACUGCCUCUUUUAAAAAAAACCUGGAUUUGCGAUAAUCUGGGGGCAGAUCUUCACACAGGUUGUCCCUUUGGUAGAGUACAGAUUUUCCCUGAUAGGCCAACUUCUCACAGGUGCUUGCUCCUAGAUCCUGUGUGCAUCCUUACCACCUUCCACCAUGGCUGCUCUCAACUCUCCACACAUUGGCCUCUGUUUUAAAUAGGUUUCCCCAUGUUGACACUCAUGUCACAUCUCUUAAACACAAGGUAAUAAGACUAAGUCCAAAUAAAUAAAUAGUGUGUGACGUUUCGGUAACAGCAUUGUUACCAUCUUCAGACAAAAGUACUGAAUGUUAACUUUUGUCUGAAGAUGGUAACAACACUGUUACCGAAAUGUCACACACUAUUUAUUUAUUUGGAUUUGGUCUUAUUACCUUGUGUUUAUAAUCUAUAAUCCAAAUUGUGCGUUAUCAGUCACAUCUCUUACUUUUUCCUUAAUUCAUUUUUCAUUUAAUUUGUGCCUUCUCACUGUCGAGCCAUCAGUACUUGGGAACACUGUGUACUUUAGUGUUUAAAGAUUGCAUAUAGAGGUAAUAGUCACCAUAAUACCUGGUCUCUUUCCUAUUUUACAAUCUUUUGUUGUUAAUAUCAAUGAUUUUUAUUCUCUGUCCACACAAAAUAUUUAACCUAUUAUAUUGAACAGUCAGUGCAAGAGUAUACAGAUCCUGGGUUUCUCUUCUUGAGUGGGCACCCAGUAAAGUUACAUUUGUGUUGUGGACAUGAUACAUUUAAAUUUACUAACAUAGAGAUGAUUCAAGGUAUAUAUAUAUAUAUAUAUACAGUCAUUCAUCUGAAAUAUUGAAAGAAAAACUAGCAUAUUUUAUUUACUAGAGUUAUUUACUUGAUUGUCUUGUUUCAGUUAUUAUUUUCACAUGGAGAAGGAUGUUGAAAGGUAACAUAAAACCAAAGUUUUUAAAUAAGUAUUUUAUAUUUAACACAUCAUUAGAUUCUGUUGCACACAGAAAAAUGUCACAAAUACUAUAGAAAUGUUGUUAGAAAUAUCAUAUAUUUUACAAAAAGCUUUCAAAUGUGUCAUAAAUGUUUAAAAAUACAGAGGGUGUUUCCUUUCAAAUGAAACGAUUUCAAACGUCCGUUAGAACUUUAUUUUUCGAACGUGAAUUUUUUUCAUGUGUUCUAUGUGCUUCCCCUUCUUCUUGGCUAUCUCCCUGCAUCGGACUUUCCAAGCUGCGAACACUUCCUUGACUUUGGAGAGCGAAACAUUCGACCACUCCUCUUGUGCGGCUUUCCAAAGUCCGGCCUCAGUUUUGGGACGUCGGUUGAAGAGCCGUUGUUUCAACAUACCGAACCCGUAAAAAUCCAGUGGGCUGGCGUCGGGAGACUUCACUGGAAUGUCCGAGUUCCUGAUAAAAUUUAGGCCUAGGGUGUCCUUCAUUUCUUGUAGGAACUGUUGGGUUUUGUUGGAGGUAUGGGAAGAGGCUUUGUCGUGAUGAAGGAACACUUUGUCCAUUUCCCCUGGGUAAAGGUCCUUCAGUUGUUCGAUGACAGGUUUCAGAACGCAUUCUAUAUAGAAUUCUGAGUUCACCUUCACCUUCGAUGGAACCUUUAUGAGCGGAAGGACUCCACGGCCAGUCAUUACCCCGACAACCAUGAAACCUUUAGGGAAAGUUUCGGAGCAUUGGUGAACCCAAUUAUCCGGGACCUGAUUGCCUCUUUUGAUGUAAAAGAUCUUCCGGAUUCCAUUGCAAUACGUCACAUACAUCCAUGCUUCGUCCAAUGUUGCAGUAUAUUCCGAUCUGGAACCGGCCAGGUGUUCCUCGUAGAGCUUCCGGGCAUUCGUUGCCUGGUUUUUCAUGUGGAAAGGGGUGAGCUUGUGAACCUUGCCUUUUCGUCGGGUAUCCAGUUCCAAAUCUUUGUGAAUGAUGUUAUUUAUCGUUUUUAGCGAUGUUCCACACAUUCUGGAAAGUUGGCGCUGAGAUGGUGGAUUUUCAGUAGUUGCUAGCCGCUUUACCUUGGAAACCGUGGCGGGGGUCCGCACCGGACGUGGUCGAUCGACUUGAAAUUUUUGCCCAUUGGAUUCAGCUUCCCUUUUCUUUCCGAUGCCAUUUACUACCCUACAUAUUGUAGCUUUGCCAACAUCUAGUCCUUCUGCUUUUAGCUUUUUCACUAUGACGCUAUAACUGUUUCCUUCUUUGGAAAGGGUCCGAAUUGUUUGUUCGACUUGGAGCGUUAGUCUCUCUCCCCCCAUGUUGCAAAAAUCAUGAUACCUGAUGAAAAUGAAUUCUCCAGAAGAUUCUAGAUCUAUUGGAACCAGUGUCGUGUGCAGCAUGCCUGCACGUGCAAAACGCGAGCGCUCGAAAAUCGUUUCAUUUGAAAGGAAACACCCUCCGUAUAACACAAAUUUUCACAAAUAUCACCUAUAAAACUUAUAUUUGCAUUUGGCUAUUGUUAUCUCUAAUCCAAAUAUCUCUCUCUCCCUUAUAAAUAUCCAGUCCAUGAUGUAGUCCACCUGCCUGUACAGACGGAGCCAUUCCUACAUGAUCUAGGCCUGUACGAGGUCAAGGACCUUCCUGCAGAGAAGCUGAGUGGAGGACAGAAGAGGAAGCUCUGUGUGGGAAUGGCUUUGGUGGGAGAUCCAAAGGUGGGUGUUCUCACAGCUACUUAUAUACUUCCACUCCUGGUGGUUGGUUGACUUGUCAUCAUGACCACACACACAUUCACAAGGUGAAAAGACCAAAUUUAUAUAAAUAUAUUAUUUGCCAUGUUUUGAUAACAAGGUUGUUAUCAACAUCAGACAAAAAUACUGAAUCUCAUAUGUUUUAUUUGAAUUAGACCUUAUUUUCUUGUAGCUAUAAUCUAUAAUCCAAAUUGUGCAUUAUCAUUGGAUUUGGUCUUUUCCAUAUGAGAUUCCUAUCUAUAAUCCAAAUUGUACCUCAUCACACACCCAUUUUCAACAUGUACAGUGAAACCUCAUUAUUGUAGCUUCUUAUAUAAAAAUAUCUUGGUUAUAGCAUUAUAAUUCUAAAGCCUCAUGUAAUAAGAGUGCAAAUUGUUUCAACCAUAGUUAUAGCAACAUAAAACCUUGGUUCCAAAUAAUGUGUUAUAAUGAAUUUCACCUGUUUUAUAAAUGUAAAACAUUCUUAAGCUAUUUAAAGCUUCUUGUUAAGCAAACUGGGUGAUAAAAAAAAUGCUUUCAAAUGAUGUAAAAUCAUGUAAUUAAAGUUUAAAAUCCAUGUGAAGUAAAACACAAAUAAGGUAAAAUUGAAGUAAAGUAAGAUAUCCAGCUAUACUUGGAAUUUAGCUUACUUGGUUUUAUUUUAUUUUGAUGUCAAUUCACAUGGUUGAUAGUCUACUUGGAUUUUAUUUCAUUUUCAUGUGAGACCUCACUUUAUUAUUAUUUUAAUUGGAUUUUAUUAAACUUUGAAGUGACUUCACAUGGCUUUACUUAAAUAAUACAUCAUUUGUGUGGAAUGAAAUGGCUUACACACACAUACAUCAGGGUUCUUCCCUAAAUGAAUGUUUGCCCAGCCAAAUUUUUUUACCUGGUAUUAGAUUACAUUGCAAACAUGUUAAUACUUAAAAUGUAUCCAUAGUAAAUGUGAUGGUAUCAUGGGAACUUGUGAGGUAGAGUCCAAAUGACCUCAGUCCAAAUGUACUACAGGUAAAUUCCCAUCUUAGCAUAUUUAUAUCAUUUGUAAGAGUGUCGACAAAAAGAUGGCUAACUUUUUUUUAGCUGUAUAGUUGUCUAGGUUAGAUUUUUUUCUUACUUAUUUACACUUUAUUUUAAAAUAGAAAAUUUGAAGAAUAAAUUAACCUAAAUAUAUAUGCUAAAGUAAUUAAGGCAUUCUAUUCUCACACCAUAAAAUUUAACAUUACUGAAUAAGUAGAUAAAUUGGGUCAGAUUCCUCUAUGAUGCAAGAUGAUUUUUUUUUCAAACCCAUGAUCAUAUUAUAAAAAAAGGCAUCUCCUUAUCGUGCAACUGAAAGUUGCUAAUGGUUUGCACCAUCUAUCGGAAUAAAUAUCAACUAUUCUCGUUGAUUUUUAAUUAUUCCAUUUUUGGCCAAAUACCCAUUCUUGAUUAAUCAAGAAAAGCUAACUACAGACGCAUUUCGGGCUGUUGGCCCUCAUCAGCGUGGUGCAAGCUAUAUCUCAACGACCAAAAAACUGGUCAUUCAGGCAUCCUGAAAAAAAUCAUGAAACGGGUAGAUAAGGCCAGAAUUGCGUGAGACCAUGACACAAUGUGAAAAAACCAUGAUCUUAUAUUUACUAUAGUACUUUAUUGCUUAAAGCAACCACUGAGUUAAAAAAAUAUUGCAUGCUGAUUAGCUAAUGUAUAGUAUAUCUUAAUAUAGAUUGUUGUGUGGUCACACACACUCUCUCUCUCUUUCUAUGUUUUGGCUAUUUGGAUCAUUAAAAAACAUUUCUAUCUGUAACAUUUGGGUGAAUUAACUGGACACUGUAUAUACCUUGAGCUAAACAGUUGAACUUUCUCUCUAAAGGACACUUAGUUGCAGAGCCAAAAUGUCCUUUAAAGAAAGGUGUUCUUACACUGGAAAGCAGCUAAUUUGUAAAAAUUCUAAUUUUGACUAUGAAAACAUAAUCCUUUUAGAGGGGUGUCUUCUAGCAAAAGUUUCCUCUUCCAGGUUCUACUAUAUAAACCAAUUAAGUUAUGUACUGUCGUACUUGGCUAAAACAUUACUUGGGGGCCGAGAUUUUAUGUUGCUAUAACCAUGUGAUUAUUUUUGUUGUAAACCUGGUUAAAAUAAUUCAAAACUUGAAACUUUAAAAUUAUGAUGUUUUAACCAAGUUGCUGUUAUAAUGAGGUAUUAUACAGUAGAAUCUUUCCCAUAAGAGACCAUAGCCAUAGCAUGGGUAAACCAGGACUCUUCUGGUUGUGGUCUCUAAUCAGACACUCUGUCAUGUUAGGCCAAGUCUUUCAACUGAGCCAGUCUCUGAUGAGAAAACACUGCCAAGGGUUUAACUAUGUUCUCUCACGGAGGACUACUGUAAUAGAUUAUUCCAUAUUUAGACCCCUGACUCACAUAGAUUCAGUUUAGGAGAGAAGCCCUGACCUAGUGUUCUGCUGUAAGGUGGUGAUACUGGACGAACCCACCAGUGGGGUGGACGUGGCCUCGCGCCACCAGAUCUGGGACCUACUCCGCAGGAAGAAGGAGGGCCGGGUCAUCAUGAUCACCACCCACUCCAUGGAGGAAGCUGACAUCCUGGCUGGUGAGUCCCCCACACUCCCCUGACAUGGCACCAACAUCUGGCUGCCCAGACCGCAAGGCCAUCAUUUCUAAGGGCAAGUUGAAGUGUGCCGGAUCCUCUCUCUUCUUGAAGAAUAGGUUUGGCAUCGGCUACCAUCUUAAGUAAGUGAUGUCUUAACUUACAACUUUGGAAAAUUGAUCGGGUACUAUGUUGUAUGACUAACCAUAAUCUCCUACAGUAUUUAGCAGUAAAAUAUUGUUAAGGAGAACAUUUAUUUUAUUGAUUCCCCAGUUUUACAAGGGAGCUCUCAAACAUAUUUGUCCUUCUACAGGUACAUAGAAGAUGCUACAAGAAGAUACAUACAUUAGUUUCCAAAAAUUAUUCCUUCAAUUAUUUUAACAUAUCUAUCAAUUGUGCUCAAAUUUUUAAAACAUAUAUGUUUGUAUAUGGCUCCUCCUUUUUUCUAUACACCUGCAGAAAAACAAACAUGUCUGAAAGCUUGCAAAAAUAAAGAAUCAAUAAAUACUUCAUUCAUGAUGCUUCUUUAUACCAAAAAAUAUUGGAGACGCCGGUUAUGUAAAUUUCUCUUUUUUGCUUAUUCAGCCAGAAUAUUUACAUAUUUGUAAAUAUAAUUGUGUAUAUAAGGAUAUGUUCAGUUUUAAUAAAAGUGUGUCAGUAACAAUCGGGUGUUGGUGAAUUAUUAGUGUCAUCAGGGUAUCCUUUCUGGUGUUGUGGGCACUUUUAAGGAAGCGUAUAGGCUUCAAUACGGUUGGAGACAAGAAUAAGUCUGGCAAGAAGAUACAGUCAAGCUCUGCCACAACUAUUUUGAUAAGGCCAGACAAAUCCUGGAUGCGGCAAGCUUUCCGAGCUUAGUAAGUGAGGCAGUGAACGCAUCCGAAACAAAUAUGUUGUAAGGUUGGCAAAGAACCAUUAUUUUGUAAUAU